AAUAUGUAUAAUAUGAUAAGGUAUAAAUGCCAUGCAAAAUGUAAUUGAAUAAUUUUGGUAGUGUUAAACGCCAUGAUGAAAAAAUACAUUAGGGAAGAGGAAUAGAAAAUACAUUGUCUUGGGGCUUCCUAAGACCACUGUCAGGUUCAUUGUUGAUCUAGCAGGACUCACAGAACUUGGAAAGCUGUUAUAUGCACUGUUACUUUUUGUCACAACAAAACACACAUCAGAUUACAAUAUAAAGGAAAAAGAUGCUUAGGGCAGAGUCCAGAAGAAACCAGGAAUCAGCUUCCAGUUGUCCUAUCCCAAUGGAGUCACAUGGCUUGUACUGAGUUUUCCUAGCACUAAGUGUGUAAAACUUGGAAAGUCUUUUCAACCAGGGAAGCUCACCAAAGCCUUGGUGUGCAGGGUUAGUUAUGUAGGCAUGUAACACCAUCCUGACUGAAUUUAGCUAUUCAGUCUCUAGGCUGCUAGAGGUCAAACUGCUACAGUGUGGCUCAAAGCCCAGGCACGCAAAAAUAGGCAUUCACCAUAAAUCCCAUUGUUAGCCUAAACUAUUAUGGCCCUAAGCUUCAGAUAUACAAAGAGACUCUUGUCAGGAUACUCCAAAGUCCCAGAGUUCUUCUCCCAGGAGCUACAUCAAGGAAGGGUAGGGUUUAAGCAGUGUAGGUAUGCUAAGUUAACUGUUUACUUUCCAAAGAGAGGCAGAAGGAUUUUCUAAUAGGGAUUUUCCUUUUAAUCUCUUCUUUAAAUGUAACUCAUUUUACAUUUCUUGGCUGCCAGUUCUCCAUGUGCUAAUCUACUUUGUUUCUUAUUCCAAGACACUGCUAAGCACCAGUGUGUGUCAGUGCGUACGUGUGUGUGUGUGUGUGUGUGUGUAGUAUUCUAGUACAAGGUACCACUAAAUGUAUAACUUAUAAUUUAUUUUCAUUGUAUAUGUUAUCAGAGUCAACACUGAGAAACAUAAAGCUUUUCUUUUCCUUAUUUUUAACAAUGAAAUCAGUUGAUGUAUACCAUGAAAUCAAAAGAGUGCAUGUGUGCGGGAGAUGACAGGGACUGGAAAGAGGGAAGAUACAGGAUAUACCUGUAGGUAUAGUAGAGAAUUUUACAAUUGGUAGCUAUUUGUACAUUAGCUGCUUGAAAAAAAUCUGCUUCUUCCAAAAGUGAAGUGCAAAUUAUAUAAUAUGCAGUAUGUGUAUUUAUAGAAAACAAAUACAUAGUCAUUAUAGCCUCUCCUUUAAGGUCAUUAUGCUUGAUGAAAUUUACAUCUUUCUGAAAACACAGUCAUGCUCAUCUCCUAGAAAAUGUACAGUAGAAGGCAAAGUCCUUUCCUUCUGCUUCUAAUAUCAUGCAUUUGUACUUAGAGUGGAAACCCAUAGUUGUGAAAAUUAAAGAAAAAAAUGGAGGGCCAGCUGUGUUUCAGUGGUAAGGAGGGCUUAAAUUAAUAAACCUAUUCCCCUGCAGCUGGAGGACAAGUAUCAAGUCUGUGAAGAGGAGGAAGACUUUUGCCUUCCACACCUGUCUUUGAGCAAUAGGUUUCAGAGAAUGUUACCUAAAGGCAUCAUCACUGCUCCCCACUGACCACACUGUUUGCUUGUGAUACCUUUCUUGUGAACAGAGAGCCUUUCUAGUGAACAGGGAGUUUUAUGUGGGAAGAAAAUGUGGAUCACAUGUUAGAGUCACUUAAUAUGUGUCACUUAAUAGUAAAGUAAGGUGUGCCCUAUUACAUAUAUACUGUACACACAUAUCUCAUAUAUAUGAUAUACACAGUGACAACCAAUUUCGUAGGGAAAGUUCAUAUAAAACAGUUUCACCUCAUUUAUACCAAAUUGUUAAGUAGUUUUCUAAUUUUUUUUGACUUUUAUGAUGUUGCCACUUUCUGUGGAGCUGCCUAUAUUUAUGACACAGAGGGUUUUUUUUGUUGGAAUUUCUAAUUUGCCACACUCUUAGCUACCCAUUUCCCUUACAGCUUCUAACAUAACUGCAUGCACUAUCACCUUGAGUAGGGCAUAUUAACUUGUCUAUCUCCACGUUUGGCUUCUAGAGUCUUCUCCAAUCUUCUCUUCACAUUGUUUGUUCUACACCUUGUUCCUUCUCUGUAAAAUCUCUGAUUGUGCCCCGUGUCCUCACUCUUGGCCGAGUACCAGCACUCCCACUCAGGAAAUCCAGUUUGCUCCCAUUGUGUGCUGGCUGCCCCCACCUUGAGUCAUACAUUCUUCUUCAUUUCCCCACACAUUCUUUGUGUGUUCCACUUCUCCUUUUCCGCCGAGCCCUUCCUCUCCGCUCAGCCUGCCCACACGCUCAGAUCUCAGCCUCUCCAACCCACGGCCGCCCACUCUUGCUGCCACUGCUCUGGGUCCUCCCUCCCUGGUCUCACCUCACUCGGCACGACUGGGUGGCUGCCUGGCUCUUCUUCUGCCUCGGUUUUUUUCACCUUUCCAGUCUAUUCAUCACACUGCUGACUGAUUAAUCUUUUUAAUAUCCUCAUGUCACUUUAUUCUCAAAAACCUUUAAUGGCUCCCCAGUGCUUAUUAAUAAAGUUCAAACUCCUUAGCUUUGCGCUUUGCCAAGCUUUCCCCAUGACCUGGCUUGCUGCCAGCUUCCUCAGCCUUCUCUCCCUCUACUCACCUUUAUUUUCUCUACCUUUGGUCCACACCACAUUGUCAAUUGUUGUUCCCUGUGUAUGCCCUGUCCUUCCCAGUGUUCUUGUCUUGGCUCACAUCAUCCUUCAGCCUGGAUUCCUCUCUUCCUUUCAAGUAUGUCUCCUUCCGCUGCCCCCUGCUACUCAAAUUUCACAUCUAGCUCAAGUUUACCUCUUCCCAGAAGCUUCCCUAGCUAGAAAUGCUCUCUUCAUUCCCAUGGCUUUUUGUAAUAGGGGUAGUUUGUACGCCUCUUACAGUACUUAUUCCAUUUUGUACUGUUACUGUUAUUUAUGUAUACAGCUUCAUUUCUCCUAGAAUGAAAGCUCUUUAGGAGAGAGUGUAUACUUCUUUGUUGUGUAUUCUAUAGUACCUUUUUAGCACAAUAUCUGAAAAACACUAAUGAUAUGUUUACUGAAUGAGUGAAUAAAUGAAUGCAUAUCUCCAGAAGAAGGAACUGCUGAUGGAAGUAUACCUCAUAUCUUAACUCAGUAUCUAGGUGUGAAUAAAUUAAAAUAAUUACCCUCAGCACAUCAAUUCUUCCGGAUAUUUUGUAAUUGCUCUUAUCAUGUAAAGCAUAUCAAGGUAAUUGGAUACAAUGUGUUUACGAGCUGUAAGAUAUAUUACUGUCCCAGACUGAAAUUUGUUUCCAUCUAGAUUAGUAAUACUGCUUUCUAAUGACCUCUGAAUCUUACAGCACAAGUCAUUAGGGUAUUUAUCGGAAAUAGAAAUCAGAUGAAAAAGCCGUUGUAUCUUUUCCCCUAUCUCUACCCUCACCUAAAUGCAGAAAAUAGUAUCUUCAAAACAUUUACUGUUCUGUGGCUUUUAAGAAAGCCCCAAACUUAACACACAAACACACUGUGUGCCUCUCUUAUAUCCUGACCUAUAAAAUUGCACACUUUAAAGUUAUUUUGAAACUCGGAAAUAGAAAUGGGAGCAUCAAAAUGCAACAUUGUCAACACAUUUAAAAAUUUUGUAGGUUCGAGCUUUCUGAAAGGGACUUCUUAUUUUUAUUCCUCCUGCUGAAACUCCCAUUUGUACUGUGUUGCCUUCCCCAAGGAUCCCCAAUAAGCUUCACCCAUUUUCCCACCACUGAAAAGAGAGGUACCCCUAGGCUGGAGAGCAGCUCCCAUUUAAUAGUGCAUAACAACAGAACCAGGGCUGUCAAACUCUGACAGCUUGAAUGAGGGAAGAUUUCAAACAAUUAUGAGUGGGAUUUUAAAUGCCUCACCUGAAAUACAUUGCAGAGUCCUUAUCACAAAAGGGAGAUACUUUGGAAACUGCCUGAAAAUUCAUCCAAGAGGAAUUUAAGAGAAACUUGGCAGGUGCUCAUGACACAACAGUUGAGAAUAAGAAAUGAAGCAGUGCACUGAAGGGAUUUAGGGAGGUUGAACAUAAUCAUUGAUGUAAGAAUGAGGCCAGGACCCAGGAGAUGCAAUCCCUGCCCUUUGUUACAAGACCUCAGGGACUGCAAGUGUCUAAACCCUUCCUUGUUUUGUGUUUCGUCUGACGCCAAGCAGUGUUAUUCUUAUUAGCUAAAAAAUAGGAAUUGUCUUGUUGAGCAAAACCUAUUCAGGCCUGGACAGAGAGGGACAUCACUACUAUUAAUACACCAUUCUUUAAACACAUUCAUUCAUCCUUAACAACACUCUGCUAGAAAAAUCCAUGAUCAAUGCAAGUAGGUCUGUUUUGUGGAUAAAGACUGUAAGUGAAUAAGUAAAUACGAAUUCUGUUGUAGUCAGGUUCUAGGUGAGAUUGUUUUUUACAAGCCGUGCCCUCUAUUUUUUGCAGACAGCCAUAUCAGUGUGCUCCAAUAACUUGCCAGCUUGACUCCAAUAACGUCUUGAAAUUUUUUUUGGCAUAUUGCCCAACAAUUUAUUUAGACUGUUUUGACUUUCAGACCUCUUUAAGUAUACUUUUAUAAGCAACUUUAUUCUUUCCCACCUUUAUAAAUAAUCAUUGAAAUGAAGACUUCAACAGAUGAACUAAGUGACUUUAGGUCAAGCCAUUCUAACCAUCUACUUAACUGUGAUUUAAAUAUUUUAAUUUCCUAAAAGGCCAAGGAAAGAAGAAUGGUUUGUUAAUGUCCACAUGGGCCCACAGUCUUUGUAUCUACACUCCUUGAGGCCAGAUGUAUUUUAGAAUCACAGUUUUUGACUUUUAGAAACUGUAUACAAUGCGUAUGUCUUAUACAUUUACUAACACUGUUAGUGGCAUCUGGGCAGUGCCUGUAAUCACUAUAUUAAUAUUUCUGCUGUGAAAUGUGUACAUAUUCAUAUCAGUUUAGGUCUGUGUUGCUACCAAAUGAGUUACAACCGUCUUGGUUUUCUGAAAAUUUUAAGUUUCAAAUUGCAGAUAAAGGACAGAUAUUUACUUAAUUUUCUUCAUUCUUUAAAACAGGUAAUUAUAAACAAAACCAACAACAACAAAACCUCCAACAUUCUUUUUAUUUAUAAGGAACUUGAACCUCAGUGAAAGAUGGGUCAUCUCCUAGCUUAAUGUACAUCCUGCCUACAGAGAGGAUAUAUGUCCGGUGUUCUCUCACCCCUGUGAUCAGGAAACGGAGAUAAUGACAAAUGAAGUGACUCUUUCUGAGGACUAACAGAUGUAAGUGGAGGAAUCAGAAUUUGGAUCCAGGAUGGAAACAAAGCCUACACUUACAAGAUGUGCAGAGGAGAAAGGUUUACCACAGCUGCUCGAGGAAGAUGGACCCAGAAUAAGAAAUUUUCUACUUGGAUUUGGGGAAACAGUAAAUUCAUUCAGAUCCCUCAUUAUUUUCAGAGGAGUGAGGCAAACAGCUCGAAGACUGCACUUCCCUUUGUCCCUUGCCAGUGAGAAGCAAGCGAAGUAAUGUAGAGAAAUGCCGGGAAGGCUAACUCAGGUGGAAGAUGUACUUCUUCAGGCUCCUUAUUCCUUUUUCUUGCUGCCUGAAAUUCUCCAGGCACCAGCCAUCUUGAUCCCUAAGGUAGACUUCAUUAUACAAACCACGUGCUAAAUGGCAGAUAAAAAUAUAGAGUCAUCAUAGCACCUCUGGUCUACCUACCUCAAUUAACUUUCUUUUACUUACACACAACAAAUUACAAAUAGCAUAAAAUGGAGUUCUCUUGGUAAUUUCUACUUUCUCUUUAUCAAGAGCUGGAAAAAGAAGAAUAAGUCCUUUGGUUUCAGCCUUGAUUAUUUGGAGGUUUGUGUUACCUGUAACUGAAAAAAAAAUGAAUUCAUACAGAUAUAUAGUACCUCAUUAAAUCAGAAAAAAAAAUUCAUGGAUUAUAGAUGAGCAACAUCUAGAAUAAUCUUCUGCAAAAUGUUACCUAGGGCUAAAUGUGUUUUAGAAGCAGAAAACAGCUUUUUUUGAGUAACAAAUUAAUAGAAUUAUGGAAUUUAAAGUUUAUUAGGAAAAGAAUUGGAUGCUUUGUGGUAAUUAUCCAGCAUAGGGAGAGUUUAUGUAUAGCAGUUGUGCUGCCGGCAGAAAGCUGGUAGGUAGAUUGACAGAAGAGUUAUUUCAGAGCCAGGCUGCUGUGAAUGUAGAAAUAGCCUCAAUCAGUUCAUGCUCCUGAGGACAAAUGAUGAUUCCUUAUUAUGCUUGAACUAUGAUGAAAUCAGUGAAGGCAUCGUGGUAAGAAGAAAAACCAUGGGGAUGCUAUUAAGAGUUUAGCAAUUCUAGUUUGUGUGGGAAUAUGGAUUCCACUUACCAAAAAUAAUAGCAUAUAGGAAAAGAAGACAGAAGUUACUGUCAUUGUUUUUGAAUUGCUCCCAAGCUAUUCCAUUGUGUCAUGAAUUUCAAGUCAAAUUUCAUGUUUUUAGUAUUCAUUUUAUUAGUGUGAUGUAUGUGUAGUGCCACAAUAUUACUAUAAUGAAAUAAUAUGAUAUUAUGAGUUGUCUUCCCCAGAUCUAAAGUAAUGCUUGUAAAACAUGUAGUGGAAAUGCACAUCAAAAUGAGAGGUAGAGAAAGAGCAAGAGGGAGAGAAAUGGAGAGGGAGAGAGAUUGCUUCUCUCCCGUUACAUUCCUGGGUCGUAGUGCAGUCUUGUAUCAGUGCUCCUUUGCUCAUAGGCCAUCAUUAUUGUGUCCAGUUUUAAUUUGUGGCAUACCCCACCAUAAAUUAGGCUUGUUAAUGCAGCGGUAUACUAGUAUUACUGCUUAUCCACUGGACACCUGAAUCUUAGUUGUAGGGUCAGGUAAUAAAGUACACCCGAUCUGGAUAUUUAUCUAUCAAAAUACCCAGAAGGGUUCUUCAACUGAUGAUUUCAUGGAGAAAACCAAAGAAUGAUUUGAAAAUGGCUGAAUCUGAAUCUACACUCUGGAAUAAGAGCUACAACCUUAUUUCUAGGCAAUUAACUUUCUUUUACUUACACACAACAAACUACAAAUAGCAUAAAAUGGAGUUCUCUUAGGAAUUUCUACUUCCUCUUUAUCAAGGACCUGGAAAAAGCAUUUUGCCAUAGGAAUGUCUCUGUGCUGGUUCAAUUGGAUUCUUUUUCAAGAUUCAACUGACAGCCAAUUUGGGUGUCACUUCCUUACAUCCAUGGGAGACAAUGAAUGAAAUUUAAGGUCUUCAAAUAUGGGUACGAAUUAGAUGAUGGAUUGAAGAAAAGGAAAAGGCAUUCCAAGCACUAUGAAUAUCUUUUUUUUUAAUUUCUUUAAUGUUUAUUUAUUUUUGAGAGAGAGAGAGAAAGAC